rnacentral:rRNA from 1 species
GACGAACGCUGGCGGCAUGCCUAAUACAUGCAAGUCGAGCGAACAGAUGAAGUGCUUGCACUUCUGACGUUAGCGGCGAACGGGUGAGUAACACGUAAGGAAUCUACCUAUAAGAGGGGGAUAACAUUCGGAAACGGGUGCUCAUACCGCAUAAUAUCUUCUUCCGCAUGGAAGCAGAUUGAAAGACGGCUCUUCUGUCACUUAUAGAUGACCUUGCGGUGCAUUAGUUAGUUGGUGGGGUAACGGCCUACAAUGACGAUGAUGCAUAGCCGACCUGAGAGGGUGAUCGGCCACAUUGGGGCUAAGACACAGCCCAAACUCCUACGGGAGGCAGCAGUAGGGAAUCUUCCGCAAUGGGCGAAAGCCUGACGGAGCAAUGCCGCGUGAGUGAAGAAGGCCUUCGGGUCGUAAAACUCUGUUAUAAGAGAAGAACAAAUUGUAGAGUAACUGCUACAGUCUUGACGGUAUCUUAUCAGAAAGCCACGGCUAACUACGUGCCAGCCGCCGCUGUAA